UACGUGGGGGGCAAGCGUUGUUCGGAUUCAUUGGGCGUAAAGGGUGCGUAGGCGGCGCGGUAAGUCGGGUGUGAAAUCUCGGAGCUUAACUCCGAAACUGCAUUCGAUACUGCCGUGCUUGAGGACUGGAGAGGAGACUGGAAUUUACGGUGUAGCGGUGAAAUGCGUAGAUAUCGUAAGGAAGACCAGUGGCGAAGGCGGGUCUCUGGACAGUUCCUGACGCUGAGGCACGAAGGUCAGGGGAGCAAACGGG
rnacentral:rRNA from 1 species